UACGGAGGAUGCGAGCGUUAUCCGGAUUUAUUGGGUUUAAAGGGUGCGUAGGCGGGCUGUUAAGUCAGCGGUCAAAUGUCGGGGCUCAACCCCGGCCUGCCGUUGAAACUGGGGAUCUAGAGUGUGCGAGAGGUAUGCGGAAUGCGUGGUGUAGCAGUGAAAUGCAUAGAUAUCACGCAGAACCCCGAUUGCGAAGGCAGCAUACCGGCGGCGAUCUGACGCUGAGGCACGAAAGCGUGGGUAUCGAACAGG
rnacentral:rRNA from 1 species